rnacentral:rRNA from 1 species
CGCUGGCGGCGUGCUUCAUACAUGCAAGUCGAACGAGAAGCUGACUUCGGUCAGUGGAAAGUGGCGGACGGGUGAGUAAUAUGUAGAGAAUCUGCCCUUGAGUGGGGGACAACAGAGGGAAACUUCUGCUAAUACCCCAUAUGAGCUUAGUUGAAAUACUAAUCUUGAAAACUCCGGUGCUCAAGGAUGAGUCUGCAUCUGAUUAGCUAGUUGGCGGUGUAAUGGACCACCAAGGCGACGAUCAGUAGCUGGUUUGAGAGGAUGAUCAGCCACAAUGGGACUGAGACACGGCCCAUACUCCUACGGGAGGCAGCAGUAGGGAAUUUUGCGCAAUGGGCGAAAGCCUUGACGCAGCAACGCCGCGUGAACGAGAAGCCCUUCGGGGUGUAAAGUUCUGUCAGCAGGGACGAAUCUUGACGGUACCUACAGAGGAAGCACCGGCUAACUCCGUGCCAGCCGCGGC